CUUUCUAACGGCAUGAGUUUUUAGAAUCAUUGGAGAUCGAGUAUAACAAUAUUUUUUGGUCUUUAUCUUCGAUAUACAAAUUUAUUGUUUUCGAAAAUACAUAAUUCGAUAUAUGUAUAUUGUCCAUGUUUAUAUUAUUUCGAAAUUGGCCACAAUACGUUCAAACUAGAAUAUGGAUAUUGAAUUACCUUAUCUUGCCGAAUAUGCUAGAACUGGACGAGCCGCUUGUAAAGGAUGUAAAAGUUCCAUUCCUAAGGAUAACCUUCGGAUUGCUGUUAUGGUUCAAAAAGUUCUCUUUUCCUAUGCCGCAGAGCCGUGCUGUCGGUGUCGUCAGCAGAGGAGCGGGGUUCUUAUACAUAUGUAUAUUUCAUAUAUAUCCUGCAGUUCCACUGUUCAUCGCUACUGAGCCAACUGCUUCGACUGCACUCUCGCGCGCGAUCUGUCUCCUAAUAAUUUAAGGCGAUGAAAAUGGAAUGAUAAUGUGCUUAAUCAAUCGAUGAAAUUGUGAUGAUUUUUCAAGCACAAUUAUCGCCUUUUCAUUUAUUCUAUCCGACUGCUAAGCGCUCCCAAUAAGCGCAUAGGCAUCGUAAGAAAUUUGUGGCAUACAAAGGCAAAGGUAUGGAAGUAAAAUGGACGGGAACGCGCUAAAGGGAAA